rnacentral:rRNA from 1 species
UAGAAUAAUGUAGUAAGGGAAGCCGCAAAUUAUAUCCGUAACUUCGGGAUAAGGAUUGGCUCUGAAGAUUGAGAUAGUCGGGCUUGAUUGGGAAGCAAUAAUAUGGUUUAUGUACUCGUUCUGGGUAAAUUAGAAUGAAAUUUAUAUUAUUUUUUAUGAUUUAUAUGUAAAUGGAGUUUGUUCCCCGGAUAGUAGCUUACGUAACCAAUUGCGGAACUUUCUUGCUAAUAAUAUAUUUAAAAGGAAAUGAAAAUUUUUUAUUUUUGUAUAUUUAUAACGGCUAUCAAUUAACAAUCAAUUCAGAACUGGCACGGACUUGGGGAAUCCGACUGUCUAAUUAAAACAAAGCAUUGUGAUGGCCCUAACGGGUGUUGACACAAUGUGAUUUCUGCCCAGUGCUCUGAAUGUCAACGUGAAGAGAUUCAAAGUAAUGCGCGGGUUAACGGCGGGAGUAACUAUGACUCUCUUAAGGUAGCCAAAUGCCUCGUCAUUCACUUAGUGACGCGUCAUGAGCGGGUAAGUCG